rnacentral:misc_RNA from 1 species
UGGAACCCAACCAACCAGGCACUUAGUUCAUUGCUCAACUGCAUUAAAGUGGUAACUAUAAAGCACUUGAUACCUGUGAAAUAUAUUGUGCAAAUAGUUUGUGCUUUGCCACGAAAAUGGCUAGAACCUCCAAUGCCUAAGACCAAUCCAAAGAUUACUGGGAAUGGCGAAGUAAAUGCUAUAGCAAUAGAGAUCAUCGCUACUGUAUUCACUUUUUUUGGCUGUUUAUUUAUUGUUGUCGAAAGAUUCAAGCAAAAGCAUUGCUUACAGAAUGUAUGUAAAAAAUAUCGCCCAGCAUUCAGUAUAAACAGGCGUACCCCUUGAAUUCCUGUAACUGAUG